rnacentral:misc_RNA from 1 species
GAUGAAGAACGCAGCGAAAUGCGAUAAGUAGUGUGAAUUGCAGAAUUCAGUGAAUCAUCGAAUCUUUGAACGCACAUUGCGCCCCUUGGUAUUCCAUGGGGCAUGCCUGUUCGAGCGUCAUUUGUACCUUCAAGCUUUGCUUGGUGUUGGGUGUUUGUCUCGCCUUUGCGUGUAGACUCGCCUUAAAAUAAUUGGCAGCCGGCGUAUUGAUUUCGGAGCGCGGUACAUCUCGCGCUUUGCACUCAUAACGACAGCGUCCAAAAGUACAUUUUACACUCUUGACCUCGGAUCAGGUAGGGAUACCCGCUGAACUUAAGCAUAUCAAUAAGCGGAGGA